rnacentral:rRNA from 1 species
GGACGUCAUAGAGGGUGAGAAUCCCGUAUGCGGUCAGGUGCCUACGCUCAUGUGAAACUCCUUCGACGAGUCGAGUUGUUUGGGAAUGCAGCUCAAAAUGGGUGGUAAAUUUCAUCUAAAGCUAAAUAUUGGCCAGAGACCGAUAGCGCACAAGUAGAGUGAUCGAAAGAUGAAAAGCACUUUGGAAAGAGAGUUAAACAGUACGUGAAAUUGUUGAAAGGGAAGCGCUUGCAACCAGACUUGCGCGCGGCUGAUCAUCCGGGCUUCUGCCCGGUGCACUCGGUCGCGCUCAGGCCAGCAUCGGUUUUGGUGGCGGGAUAAAGGCCUUGGGAAUGUAGCUCCUCUCGGGGAGUGUUAUAGCCCAGGGUGCAAUGCCGCCUACCGGGACCGAGGACCGCGCUUCGGCUAGGAUGCUGGCGUAAUGGUUGUAAGCGACCCGUCUUGAAACACGGACCA